rnacentral:rRNA from 1 species
GGGUUGUGAGGUUAAGCGACUAAGCGUACACGGUGGAUGCCCUGGCAGUCAGAGGCGAUGAAGGGCGUGCUAAUCUGCGAUAAGCGCCGGUAAGGUGAUAUGAACCGUUAUAACCGGCGAUACCCGAAUGGGGAAACCCAGUGUGAUUCGUCACACUAUCAUUAACUGAAUCCAUAGGUUAAUGAGGCGAACCGGGGGAACUGAAACAUCUAAGUACCCCGAGGAAAAGAAAUCAACCGAGAUUCCCCCAGUAGCGGCGAGCGAACGGGGAGGAGCCCAGAGCCUGAAUCAGCAUGUGUGUUAGUGGAAGCGUCUGGAAAGGCGCGCGAUACAGGGUGACAGCCCCGUACACAAAAGCGCAUGUGCUGUGAGCUCGAUGAGUAGGGCGGGACACGUGGUAUCCUGUCUGAAUAUGGGGGGACCAUCCUCCAAGGCUAAAUACUCCUGACUGACCGAUAGUGAACCAGUACCGUGAGGGAAAGGCGAAAAGAACCCCGGCGAGGGGAGUGAAAAAGAACCUGAAACCGUGUACGUACAAGCAGUGGGAGCNNNNNNNNNNNNNNNNNNNNNNNNGGGCGUUAAGUUGCAGGGUAUAGACCCGAAACCCGGUGAUCUAGCCAUGGGCAGGUUGAAGGUUGGGUAACACUAACUGGAGGACCGAACCGACUAAUGUUGAAAAAUUAGCGGAUGACCUGUGGCUGGGGGUGAAAGGCCAAUCAAACCGGGAGAUAGCUGGUUCUCCCCGAAAGCUAUUUAGGUAGCGCCUCGUGAAUUCAUCUCCGGGGGUAGAGCACUGUUUCGGCUAGGGGGCCAUCCCGGCUUACCAACCCGAUGCAAACUGCGAAUACCGGAGAAUGUUAUCACGGGAGACACACGGCGGGUGCUAACGUCCGUCGUGAAGAGGGAAACAACCCAGACCGCCAGCUAAGGUCCCAAAGUCAUGGUUAAGUGGGAAACGAUGUGGGAAGGCCCAGACAGCCAGGAUGUUGGCUUAGAAGCAGCCAUCAUUUAAAGAAAGCGUAAUAGCUCACUGGUCGAGUCGGCCUGCGCGGAAGAUGUAACGGGGCUAAACCAUGCACCGAAGCUGCGGCAGCGACACUGUGUGUUGUUGGGUAGGGGAGCGUUCUGUAAGCCUGCGAAGGUGGCCUGUGAGGGUUGCUGGAGGUAUCAGAAGUGCGAAUGCUGACAUAAGUAACGAUAAAGCGGGUGAAAAGCCCGCUCGCCGGAAGACCAAGGGUUCCUGUCCAACGUUAAUCGGGGCAGGGUGAGUCGACCCCUAAGGCGAGGCCGAAAGGCGUAGUCGAUGGGAAACGGGUUAAUAUUCCCGUACUUGGUGUUACUGCGAAGGGGGGACGGAGAAGGCUAUGUUGGCCGGGCGACGGUUGUCCCGGUUUAAGCGUGUAGGUGUGUGUUCCAGGUAAAUCCGGUUCACUUUAACACUGAGGCGUGACGACGAGGCACUACGGUGCUGAAGCAACAAAUGCCCUGCUUCCAGGAAAAGCCUCUAAGCAUCAGGUAACAUCAAAUCGUACCCCAAACCGACACAGGUGGUCAGGUAGAGAAUACCAAGGCGCUUGAGAGAACUCGGGUGAAGGAACUAGGCAAAAUGGUGCCGUAACUUCGGGAGAAGGCACGCUGACACGUAGGUGAAGUGAUUUACUCAUGGAGCUGAAGUCAGUCGAAGAUACCAGCUGGCUGCAACUGUUUAUUAAAAACACAGCACUGUGCAAACACGAAAGUGGACGUAUACGGUGUGACGCCUGCCCGGUGCCGGAAGGUUAAUUGAUGGGGUCAGCGCAAGCGAAGCUCCUGAUCGAAGCCCCGGUAAACGGCGGCCGUAACUAUAACGGUCCUAAGGUAGCGAAAUUCCUUGUCGGGUAAGUUCCGACCUGCACGAAUGGCGUAAUGAUGGCCAGGCUGUCUCCACCCGAGACUCAGUGAAAUUGAACUCGCUGUGAAGAUGCAGUGUACCCGCGGCAAGACGGAAAGACCCCGUGAACCUUUACUAUAGCUUGACACUGAACAUUGAGCCUUGAUGUGUAGGAUAGGUGGGAGGCUUUGAAGUGUGGACGCCAGUCUGCAUGGAGCCGACCUUGAAAUACCACCCUUUAAUGUUUGAUGUUCUAACGUGGACCCGUUACCCGGGUUGCGGACAGUGUCUGGUGGGUAGUUUGACUGGGGCGGUCUCCUCCUAAAGAGUAACGGAGGAGCACGAAGGUUGGCUAAUCCUGGUCGGACAUCAGGAGGUUAGUGCAAUGGCAUAAGCCAGCUUGACUGCGAGCGUGACGGCGCGAGCAGGUGCGAAAGCAGGUCAUAGUGAUCCGGUGGUUCUGAAUGGAAGGGCCAUCGCUCAACGGAUAAAAGGUACUCCGGGGAUAACAGGCUGAUACCGCCCAAGAGUUCAUAUCGACGGCGGUGUUUGGCACCUCGAUGUCGGCUCAUCACAUCCUGGGGCUGAAGUAGGUCCCAAGGGUAUGGCUGUUCGCCAUUUAAAGUGGUACGCGAGCUGGGUUUAGAACGUCGUGAGACAGUUCGGUCCCUAUCUGCCGUGGGCGCUGGAGAACUGAGGGGGGCUGCUCCUAGUACGAGAGGACCGGAGUGGACGCAUCACUGGUGUUCGGGUUGUCAUGCCAAUGGCACUGCCCGGUAGCUAAAUGCGGAAGAGAUAAGUGCUGAAAGCAUCUAAGCACGAAACUUGCCCCGAGAUGAGUUCUCCCUGAGACUUAGAGUCUCCUGAAGGAACGUUGAAGACGACGACGUUGAUAGGCCGGGUGUGUAAGCGCAGCGAUGCGUUGAGCUAACCGGUACUAAUGAACCGUGAGGCUUAACCUUACAACGCCGAAG